AGAGCGAACGCUGGCGGCAGGCCUAACACAUGCAAGUCGAACGGACCCUUCGGGGUUAGUGGCGGACGGGUGAGUAACACGUGGGAACGUGCCUUUAGGUUCGGAAUAGCUCCUGGAAACGGGUGGUAAUGCCGAAUGUGCCCUUCGGGGGAAAGAUUUAUCGCCUUUAGAGCGGCCCGCGUCUGAUUAGCUUGUUGGUGAGGUAAUGGCUCACCAAGGCUACGAUCAGUAGCUGGUCUGAGAGGAUGACCAGCCACAUUGGGACUGAGACACGGCCCAAACUCCUACGGGAGCAGCAGUGGGGAAUCUUGCGCAAUGGGCGAAAGCCUGACGCAGCCAUCG
rnacentral:rRNA from 1 species